ACGGAAGGCAUCAGUGGGGAAUAUUGGGCAAUGGACGAAAGUCUGACCCAGCGACGCCGCGUGAGGGAAGAAGGUCUUCGGAUUGUAAACCUUAGUCAACAGGGAAGAAGCAAGUGACGGUACCUGUGGAGGAAGCCACGGCUAACUACGUGCCAGCAGCCGCGGUAAUACGUAGGUGGCGAGCGUUAUCCGGAUUUACUGGGUGUAAAGGGUGUGUAGGCGGGGACGCAAGUCAGGUGUGAAAAUUAUGGGCUUAACUCAUAACCUGCACUUGAAACUGCGUUUGUUGAGAGUCGGAGAGGUAAAUGGAAUUCCCAGUGUAGCGGUGAAAUGCGUAGAUAUUGGGAGGAACACCAGUGGCGAAGGCGAUUUACUGGACGAUUACUGACGCUGAGACACGAAAGCGUGGGGAGCAAACAGAAUU
rnacentral:rRNA from 1 species